CUAUUCCCCGGCAGCCAGACCACAUCAAUCAACUGCUGCCCCUCAAGUUUGCUGCUCCCUCAAGUGAGCAUCCUUCAAGACACAGCUCUUAGUCGAAAUCCACUUGCAUCUCCGCUGAUGCAACUUUCGUUGCUGCUGCUGCUGCAGUUGCUGAUGCUGAUGUUGCUGCUGCGUCAACGUCGCCCAUAUUUGACAUGACCAUAAUUACAGUCAGUCGUCUGCUGGACUCGCGACGUCGUCGUCUUGGUUUUGCAGCUGGACACGGACACGGACAUGGAAUUGGGAUUGGGAUUCGGAUCGGGACUCGGAUAGGGAUAGGGAUCGGGAUCGGGAUCGGAAGAGGGAAAUGUUGCUGGGGGACUGGAGCUUGUUUUGAGCGCGCUUUUUUCAACAUAUUUGCUGGCGUUUCAUCCUCUCAGCGAAUCAAAGCAUUGAUUGACUUCAGCCCACUGUGCCAGCAUCGUGGCACAUCUGCAAGCAGCCUAUCAAUUUUUGACGAGACAAUCUCAGAGUCCAAAGGGGCACUGCAAAAAAAUGCAGUCGGAGCAAUUGGCUGGCGGACCAGGGGUCGCUCGAGAGUGCAUCACGGAAGAGUAGCGAAAGAAGACGAGAAAAUAACCGGAGAAAAAGUCGAACAAAGCUUAAGAAAAGAACACUUGUAUGUACCUUCUCUGCAAAGGAUACACAAGUGUCUCAUUAAAAGAAAUAAAGGACAAGCCAAGCGCCGACGAAGUCCUUAAAGUCGAGACUCGAAUCCCUGGCAGACGACAAGGACGGGGAGACGGCGUAGCGAGCGAGUGCGAGCGAGAGGAGUGGAGGGCAGACUGCAAGGAAAGGGCGAUUGAAAGGCAGUCGCAACGUGAGCGACUUCAAGGACAACUACGGCCAACAACAAGAACAAGUGCCAAAAAAAUCAACGAAAAUGCGCUAUUAAGGCAAUUUUUUCGGUUGGAAUCCAACCAAUCCCCGAACUUCUCCAACCCACGAAAACCAAAGACUGCACAGGAAAAAUUUUCAGAUCAUUGGGGAAUAUAUUCUUUCGGUGUGCCCACGAUUACAGCUCUCCCCGCCAGACGGCGGCCACUGACGAUGUGGAGAGCAUUCGUGCUGGCGAGGGGAGAGCCGGGAGACUGCAGACAGGUGACUGGAGACAGGAGACAGGAGACAGGCGACCGGUCGCAAAGUGGCUCAAUGUCAGACACAGACACGGGUACAGACAGCGAGACACAGACACCAGACGCCUCAGCCUCAAAGUGAUUCAAAUGCUCUGCUCAAACACAGGCUAGGCUCUCUUUGCGCUCUCAUCGAUGCAACACCAAAUGCAUGGAAAUUUUCGGUAGGACACAUGCGGCAACUCGACGCGAUGGAUACCCAGUUUUCAUAACCGGACAUGAGGGUUUGUUUGUUCCAUGACUGUACGAAGUAAAACACUUAACUGCUCCUAUAAAUCUCUUAUAUCAUGUAAAAUAAAUUAUAUCUUUUGCACUUUAGUAUACUCAGCACUCAGAUAAGUGAAAUAUUUUUAACUUUAUUUCUGAUUUAACAGUAGAAUCAGGCGACCCUUGCACUUUCUAUCUUGGUUUAUAACAACAAUUAAAGAGCGAGGAACACGAGAGACCUUUUUUUUUUUAAGAUAUGACAGUUUUUAUGGUUUGACGUCUCAAACAAAAAAUGUUUGUAUAUAUUCAAGCAGAAUAGAUAAGCUACAAAGUAAAGUAAGUAAUGUAACUUAUUAUUUAAGCUGAUUAAUUAACUGGCACUUCGUAUAUAAGAGUAAAAUAUGUUUCAGAUUUCCCUAAUAUUUGUUGUGUUAUUUCAAAUUCUUUUUUUAAUAGUUAGUUUUAUUUUUAAUUUAAUCCCGACUUCCACUAUUCCUUUUCAAUUACAGGGUGUGCUAAAAGCUCUCUGCUAAUGCCGAAAAGGGAUAGGGGUAGUCUGUCGCAGUCUGUUUUCCUUCUCGCUCUUUCACUCUGCACUCAUGUUGUUAGUUAGUAUGUGUGUGUGCAGCAGCAGACGCAUGAAACAAAAUACCGAAAUUCUAUGCGUGACCUUGAAAAGUAUUCCUCGUCUGCAGACCGACAACAACAGCAACAACAACAACGUGAGCAAACCAUAAAGUCUGCUGCUUCGCUCGGUGGUUGUUUGUGUUUGUGUUUGCGUUUGUUUUUGCUUGCGUUUGUGUUUGUGCUUCGCUGUCGUCAUCAGCGUCUCUUGCCGAUAUUUGCGUUUGCAUCUUGUUGUUGCCGUCUGCAUUUUCCUUGUUGUCUGCUGGGCACAAUUUGUUGUUGCUUUUGCUGUUGUUGUUGUCGUUGCUCUUGAGGAUUUUUUGGGAUAGGUUUUUUUUUUUCGAACUCAUACACUUUUAAACCAAAGGGGU